rnacentral:lncRNA from 1 species
UAUGCUUACAAAAUUAAUUCAAUAUGUAUACAAAUCUCAUAAAUCAAUCUUUAGGAUUCUAUCAAAUCUCGUAAAAUUAUCCAUGACAAAGUUGUCCAUUUUGAUCAAAUAAAUAUAAAAAAUAUCUUGAUAAAUAUGAAAAAUUUGAAGAAUUUUUGAGAUUAUUAUUAAGUCCCAUAAAUCAAUUCACGAUGGAGCUGUCC